rnacentral:lncRNA from 1 species
AGGGCAAGAAGAUGGCUGGCAAAAAUAUACACAAAAUUAUUCGAGCCACUUCUUUCAUUACAAAAAGAAUAGUUCAUUAAAAUACAACUAUUUAAUUGUACUCAAAAGUCCACUAUACAUCCGUGAAUGGAUCCAAGCAAGCUUCAAGGGGUAGCUCGAGAAGCGAUUCCUCACUAUCAUCAUCAUUUAGGGGAGGAAAUGGAUUGAGGUGAACUCCAUAAAACUUAGCAAGGAAAAUAGUAUUUAAACUACACUACUAAAGUUUCAAAGGUUAUUAAUUAUUAAAACAUGUCAUUCUCUCAUAAAUAAGUGACUUACCUCUUGGACUUGUCGCAUAACAUUUUCAUUUGAAACAUUGAGAAAACGUUUACCUUUUUUUUAAAAUUCAAUAAAAAACAUCUAGUUUCAAGUCACAAUUAUAAGAAGUAAAAUUGAAGUAGUACAACAUAAAAGAGUCAAUGAUAAAAUAGGACAAUAUAAUCAGAAACUAGUUAAACCAACUAAACACGGCAUGACAUGAUGGAGCACUGAGUAACAUAAUGGAAACUAGUUGAACCAACCAAAAAGCAUGGCAAUGUCAUGAUAGAAUAGUAAGAAACAUAUUCUAUUUAAGGAAACUAUCAAAUAAUGGAAAAUCACUCAACAAUUCUACCUAUACCAUCAAACGGUUCAAUUUAUUUAUCUUUUAUAGAUCUUCGUGCACAACUGUUUUAACAUAUACCAACAAAGGGUAGAAGGGAUCCCUGACUAUCAUUGCUAAUGGAAAACAAUUUAGUUCGAUAUAAAGUAUAACAGUUGGAAACUAAAGACCACAGCCAUACUUCGCUAAUGUGGUCCCUAUAAUAAUAGUUGAAAACUAAUGACUGUGGUCGUACUUCGCCACUGUGGCAUCUAUAAUCAGUCACAAUUUCACUCUCAUCAGAGGGAACACUAGUACCAUUCACAGGGAGAGGUUCACAAACAAUUAGUAAUAGUCAAUUCGGUAAUCCCUCAGUGAGAAUAGUCAAAUGGAUUUUCAGUUUUUCUAAUUUCCUCAUCAGUUCAACUCAUCAUUUAUUUUUACCGACCAAACCUAAAGGAGGUCCACAAACCAAUCAUGGCCCAGUAAAGGCCUAUAUACCCAAAUUAGACCAUCGAGUUACCCUCUCAGGUUAAGUCCUUAAAUGAGUAACCCUUUCAAUCAUCCCUCCUGAAGCGAAGUUGAGGGUUUGACCUGCACACAUGGCAUAUCAUAUAAAACAAUCUCAACAAGCAAAUCAUGUCUAUAUACUAUACGAAAGUAAGCACUCUAAAGUCAUGUGAUUUACAAUCCUUAACAUUCAUUACCAAUUCAUGCAUGAAUAUCAACCAAGAAUUCAUACAUCUCGUCAUUCUUUAAGUGUUCUCAUUAUCUAGAAAAUAGGUUUAGAAUAGUACUUAGAAAUACUAAGAUCCUUUAUAAUACCCAAUACAUGCAUGGAACCAAACCAAACAAUCAUGGAUCUCAUUAUCUUUAAAUGUUUUCAAGGUCUAGAAAACACAAUAGAAGAGUACAUGAAAAUACCAAAACCACGACGAGGUUGUUUGCAUAUUUUGAAGGAGAUAAAAAGGUCGCUUAACAAACGUGGGUUUUAGAAGAGAUUUCUAAAAGUUAAAAGAAAAGAGAAUCUAAGAACGAGUUCUUAGAAAUUAUAAUGAAGAAAUGAAAUUGAGAAAAUGAAGGCUUACAGUGCGGAUGGGAAGAUUUUCUCAGUCUCCUUUGGUUUCAUCUCUUUCUCUCUCUAGCUUCUCUCUCUACUUUCUCUCUCUCAAUCUCGACUAAAUGGGAGAUGAGAGGUGAAAGAGCGAUUUAAAUAGGACAAGAAGGGGCCUCACAUGCGUGCCAUGUGUCGGCAACAUGGUGGUCGGCUAGACGAGCAAUACAUAGAUACGACAAAUAUGACGGGUCUGUUCGUAAGGCGAGCAACAGGCGGCUGCAUGCAGGUAGCUACAGUGUGCGUGCGGUUGACGUGACAAAUGGAUGUGACGUGCGUGCGAGCUGCUAGCGAGUAGCUGGCCCACGAUCAGGCGACAGAACAGACGAGAUAACUGUUGUGUUCACUAGUGUGCUACAGGUGCAUGGCUAAUGUACGGCAAGUGAGGGGACAGCAAUGGGACAGCUGCUAUGAGAGCAGGUGCGGAGGCACACCGGCGCGCAGGUGUGCAAGCAUGUCCACAAGUGGUCUUCCUGCAAGGCUUGCCUGCGAGGUUUAUCCCCAUUCUUCCCUUUUUUUUUGUUUUCCUUUUGUACUUGUUUAAUAAUUUUUGUAUUAAUGGAAUUAUAGUUACUAAAUUAAGUUAAAUCUCAUAGAAACUAUUAUAUUUUUAGAUAAAAUAAAACAUUUAUAAUAAUUAAUUGGAGUAACUAUAAAAGAUUAAAAAUAUAAAUUAAUAUUUUUAUUAUAAAAAACGACUUUCUUAUUAAAAUUAAAACAUUAUAUUUCAAUAGAAGUUAUAUAAUUCAUUUGCAGGGACGACCUUGUAUUGUUAAACGGAAUGUUGUUCUACAUAGGUGAGAGGAUGAUUGAUCAAGGUUCAAAUUUAUCAUUUUCAAGAACAGACGAGGUAUUUAUCAUAACUCUACUUCAUGAAGGCCCAGUUGAGUUCCUCUACUACUAGCUCCAUAAAGCUCUCCAUCAUCACUUUCUCUGCUCUCACUAUCAUUUUGAUCACCAUUCAUCUAUUGUCACUGAAUCUGUGACAUUCCAAGUGCUAGUUAAGGCAAAUGGGUGUCAGAUACAAAUUCAGAAUAAUAAGUGCAUGAUAAUAUUUAUGCAGCGGAAUCAAAACCUUAACAAACGCUUAUAGAUACAUAUAUAUUGUUCUAAAUACAUACAUCACUGAGGCUAGAAGUGGCUACAAAAUACAAAACAUAAGGGCCACUUCUUUCACAAGGCUACUGUAAUUCAUCAGAGUGUGAGAACAGACAUGCACUCAAACUUGUGGAUUCACAGGAUCUUCAUAGACUUCCAAGGGUAGGUCUGCUUGUGGUUCUUUAUUUUCUUCCUAUUUUGGGGAGGAUAGAAAGAGUGAGUUUCAUAUGCUCAGUAAGGAAAACAGUAUUAAAUUAACAUCAUAAAAUUUUAAAAGUUUAUUAUUUUUCUUACCGUUAAGCUUUCUUGUUUACCUAACUCAUCAUUAGAAAAAAUAUUUAUUUGAAUAUCAAAAUAGUAUGUUAGCAGAUAAAAUCGAGUAUACAUAUAUCAUAUCAAAUAAUAGAGAAAAUCAAAUAAAUCAUGAAAUACACAGAUUUUUUGUAUCAUACUUCGCGAAAUCGUUACAAACUUCCAUUUCUGAGGGCAGAUACAGAUACAAAUUUUCAACUAACCAAGUAGAAUAACUAGAUCAAAUACAGCUAUGGCAAUUUGCUCAGACCCACUUCUGGUUGGCCAAACCAUGGUACGAUCUAUGACCACGAUCGUACCAACUACAAUGACCCUAACAGAUAGUAUAUAGUCACGACAUUACUUAACAACGGGCGACCCCUACAGAUAAUGUGAUACUACUCUUGUCAGAGGACACGCCAUCAUCCACUGGGAGCGAUCCUCUUAUGUCUUUUCAAAACAGAUAGGAGAGGAAAAAAUAGAUACCCAAAGGGUAAGGGGAACAGAUACCCCUCAAAGAUAAAAAGUCUAACGAGACACUUAAUGCAAUAUGCAUGUCAAUACAGAUACACUUUGUACCAUACAAGCUUCAUUUCACUUUUUUCCUUUUCUUUUUCUUUUAUUUUACUUUUAUUAUCAUGGACUAUAUAUUACAUUUAUUACAUGUAAAUUCAUAAAUCACACAACAUGCUUGAAAAUCAGAACAAUUCGAUUUAUUUGAAUAUAGAGGCACACAAAACAGGCAAAAUAAUUAUCAUAUUAAAUUUGCUUAUCUAAAAAUAUUCCUUAAGACGUCAAAAGUAAUACUAAAUUUCUUACCGAAAUCUCGAUGUUUUCUUGUUCACUGUUUUUCCUUUUUUUCUUUUCUUCUCUCACUAAUUUACUCUUCCGCUCUCUAAAUCUUUAAAAAAUGGAAGAAAUAAAAGUGUGGAGAUGAAGGGAAGGGGAGGGCAAUUUAUAGAAUUUCAAAAUAGUUAGAUUCACGCCAAGUGGCGAGAUCCGAUGAAGAGAGAGGAGAAAAAGAUUCUUCCCACGAGAAAUGAAGGAGAAAAUUUUUCUUUACCAACGGCGGCACGUUGCCCAAGGUAGUGGCGGAGUACUCCCUAAGGUGGUAGAGCCCGACCGGCGCAUUACAAGCUAACUUGUCGGCGCACAGGCCUACUGCUGUGCGCGCACGGCCUAGCGCACUAGGCACCGUGUGCACCAACCUACUGCGCACAGGACCAGGCGCAAAGGGCUUGUCCGCACAGGACUGCUGCACAGACAGCGCAUGCACAGUAUGUGGCGCUAGUCCAUGCACGAAGUGACGCGCAGACGGCCUGCCUGUGCUCGAUAAGAUGCGCGCGCAGGUCCUGACCUCGCGCCGUGCGCACAUCCCGUGCAUGCUAGCAUGUGGAUGGGGCGUGCGCGCUGUGCGCAAGCCCUGCAGCCACUAUGGGCGCGCACAGUGCCCAACACCAGUGUGAGCAACCAUUUUCUCAGAAUUUUUCUCGCGAGUAGGUUCUCUCCCGUUUCGCCUUUUUCUGGUUUUUUUCUAAAUUUUUCUUUUAAAAUAAAAUUAAUGAAAUAAAUAAAAAAUUAAAAAUAAAAAUAAAUUAAAAUUACGGAUCUCGAAGGCAUAAUAAAUUAAUUUAAAUUUAAAGCGGCCAAAUGACCAAAUGAAUAGAGUUUCUAAAUUAUUUUAACAUAGUGAUAGACGAAGUGUUACAGAGUCCAUCACAAAUAAGUAACUAUUAUAAUAUUUAUAAAUAAUUAAAUUGUUGAAUGAAAAUAAAAUUAAUUAAUUAACUAAAAAAUGCAGCGGUAAUCCAUCCAUUUGCAGAACACAUGUGGUGUAUUUCUCACUUCGCGAUUAUGAUGUUGACCACACUGUUGACUGGAACAACCUCCAUAGCUUCCUUAACCGGAUAGGCGACUUACAUUGAUUCCACGAACAACAUGGGACACUGUAACUUUGAGCUUGUUCCUAAACCACUCAUUUCCAUUUUCCCACCUCUCAAGUAUCUCAUGUACACUCUAUAGUAUGUGAUCUAACCCCUCUUUUUAUUUUUAUUUUUUUUUCUUAUUAAAAAUUAUACAAAUCUUAAUCUAAUCGUUCACUUAUUUAUUGGGUAUGAUUAGCAAUUUACUAUUUGAACUGUUAAUUUAAAGAAUAUAAAAGGAAAAAUAGUGUUGAAUAUCUUAAAUUUAUCCUUAUGGAUGGAAUAAAAACAUAUAAAGACAAAUAAAUAAGUCAGUUUUUUUGUUAAAUAUUUGAUUUAUCUUACUUUGAUUAAUUUUGAUUAGUUUUUAUGUUUAUUUAAUAUAUUUAUUAAAUUGAAUCAAUCAGUAUUAAUAUUUAAAUUUUGGUUCAACCAAAAAAUGAGAUCAAACUAAACUACUUAAAUUAGACGAGUUCAAUUCAAAUGUAGCAAGAUAAGAAAUUUCAGUUUCAUCUGUUCCAUAAUUUGUCUCGUCCAAAUUGGAAUUAAAAAUAAUAAUAAUUAUGAAUUGAUAUUUAAUAAGUUAAUAUUUGUUACUAUUUUAUUAAUUAUAGAUUUCAUAAAGUUAUAAUUUAUGAAUUUAUUUUUAUUUUAAUUCUUCUUGAUUUUGUUAGUUAUUUUUUAAUUCAAAAUAAUAAUUAAAAACUAAUAUAUUUAAAUCUAUCUGGAUAUCUCUCCUAAUUGUUCAGGUACUUGGCUUAAUACUUUCCUUUCUCGUUCAAUUCUUAUUUCUCGUUUUCUUUUUUACUAUAAACAUUUAUUUAUGGCUUGAAUAGAAACAGAAGCAAAUAAAUGGUAAUACCUACCACUGGCAAGAUAUUUGCCUGGUAAUUUAAGGAAAUUCAGUCAAUAAAACUGAAGCCUCUCAAAUCUCAUCUUGAAGUUUUGUAUAAGUUAAACGAAAUAGAAAUAUUAAUGAGUUAUAUAUAUAUAUAUAUAUAUAGAUAGACACACACACACACACUUGUUUGUGUGUGUGUCUGUUGUGUGAGUAUUUAUUGGAAAAGAAGUAAACAAAACUGUAAAACAUUAAUGGUCCCCCAUCCUCAAAUUAGCUAGAAAACAAUUAACAAAGAUUAACUAACAUUAAUGUAAUGAUUAAUGAAUUAAUUACAUGCAUGCAGGUUCCAUUCAUGCAUCACACUCAAUUUAGAACCAAUUACUCGCUGUUCAUGUCAAUCUACAAUUAUAUAAACAUAACGACAGAUAAAUUAUAGGAUGAAUUAUACAAACCGUUAUUAAAACAUGGUAAAACUUGCAUCAACGUAAUUCGUCUAACUCAUCUCAUUGCAUUGGAUUCCCUCUAUUAUUUUUGCUUGGGAUUUGUUUUUUGGGGUUUGAAGCCUCAUUCGUCUUUUUUUACUUCUAUAUUUUUUUUUAUGUCUCACUUAUUCUUUUUUUUCUUAUUUUCUCUCUCCCCCGCCUUGCUUUUCUCUUAGAAGCUCACUCCUUCAAAAUCUCAACUUGCAUUCUUGUGUUCCGCCCACAUUUUACUUUCAGAUUUUCAUUAUGUUCCUUUUUAAUCAUAUUAUAUAAAAAAUAUAGUCUACAUAUAUGGUUAAUAAUGAUGUUUAUUAUUAUUUCGUAAAAUCACGGAAACAUGGUAUUAAUCGAUUCAUCGAGGAGGUUGUAUUGGAAGCAGAUAGGAAAGGAGCCAAGGUGGUGAACCUUGGUCUUUUGAGUCAGGCAAGUAGAUUCUUGAUCAUAAACUUAUCUUCUUAAAUAGAGAUGGUAAAAUAUGGUCAUAAGUAUCCCAUCAAUCUAUAUGUGUGUGUAUAUAUAUAUAUAUCUGAAGUAAAAAUAUUACCGGGGGGGGGGGGGGGGAGUUGAAUUAGAUAUGGAUAAAUAUACAUUGAAAAAUACCCUAAGCUUAAAGAAAAAGUGGUUGAUGGGAGCAGUUUGGCAAUAACAGUGGUACUUAACACCAUUCCACCAGGAACAACGCAAGUCUUGCUUGUUAGAAAAUUCAUUAAGGUCGCCAUUGCAGCGUUUCGACUCCCUGUGAUCGGGGUAUUCAGGUAUUUAAUCAUUUUGUUCUUGAAAGUAAAAAUAUUAAGCACUAGAACACAUAACUUUUAGGUUUUUUAUAUUUUUAUUUAACUUAUCUACUUAAUUAUUCUUUUAAUAUUUUUUUAAAAAGAACAAUAUAUAUAUAUAUAUAUAACAGGAUAAAUAGUUAUUCGUAAGGUAUAUACUUUCUUAUUAAUUUUUAUUAUUAGUAAUCUUUUUCCCAAUCAAUAUUUUUUUACAUGAGUGAUUAUUUCAUUUUUAAAUAAAAAUAUACAUAUUUUAAAUAACUUAAAGUACUUUAUUAUUUUAAGCAUUUUCUUUUGACGAAUCCAAGAAUUCUCUAUUUUUAAAUUAAUAUAUAUCUAAUCACGUCAUGCGUGAUUCCUGCGUACAAAUGUUUUUUUUUUUUUUUUUGGUUUUUCACUUAACGGCAUGAUUUUUAUUUUUUAUUUUUUUUAGUUACUCAAUUCUUUAAUUUAAAAUAUACAUUUUUCAAAUAACUUAAAGAGUACUUUAUUAUUUUAAUAUUUUCUUUUAACAAAUUUAGAUAUUCGAUUCUAAAUUAAUAUUUAAUUAAUCAAGCAUGCAUUAUUCGUGGCAUUAUAUUAUUAUUAUUAUUAUUAUUAUUAUGUGGUUUCACAUUACUGGCCAUUUGAUAGACCAGAAGAUCCAGAACAUUCCAGCCUAGAAUUGUUUUUGUAAAACCUCACAAGUCAACCUUUUUUUGGUCCUAAACAAUAAUAAUAAUAAUAAUGUUACAAAGUCAACUUUCGUAGGUAGCAACGCGGCUUCUGAAUAAUUUGGAGCUUAAACUCAGGAUUCCACUCACCAACAGAUGAAGCUUGUCGAGAGUAUAAGGUAUAACCAAUUUAGUAUAUUAUUAUUUUACCCUUAGUUUAAUUUUAUUUUAUGAAAUUAUUUUUUAAUUAAAUUAAUUAAAUUCUUUUUUUUAUGUAGGUAUGGUUAGUGGGAGAGGCAUCAAAAGGAACAAAAUUUAUUCCAUUGUCGCUAUUUCCACCAAAGAAGAUACUCAAAGAUUGAUAUUACCACUCCACUCCUGGAAUGAUUCUUCCAGAAGUAUUCCACAACGUCCACUCCUGUGAGAACUGGUUGCCCAGAAGAGCAAUCAGCGUGUGGCGAAUCGCAGGGAUUUUACACGCGCUCGAAGGAUGGUAAGUUGACGAGUGUGGCGGCCAAGUCUUCAAUGUUGAUAAAAUUUGGGAAGCAUCGCUUCGCCAUGGAUUUCUUCCACUCGAUUGAUUAAGAUUCUAACCUACUUGUUUUAUUAAACAAAUUAUAAUAUUGCAAUUAAAUUAAACGAACUUAUUCUACUAGUUAAUGUGUUAGUGUAUAUGUUAUGAGAUAUUAUUAAGUGUUUCAAGAAUGUAAAUGGAUAUACAUUAAAAUAUAUGUUAUGAAAAAUUAUUAGGUGUUUCAAGGGAGUAAAUAGAUUGUUGUGAUUUAUAUAGUUUACUUUCUGUUUUUAUAAUCCUUUUGAUAAAAUUUAAAAUAUACAAAUUAAAUUUAUAAAAUUUAUCAACUUUUCUAUUACUUAUGAAAUAUCUUAUAAUUAAUAUGUAUAUUCCAUGUGACAUUCAAUGAAAAACUAGGUACAUUUAUUACACAUCAAGUGAGAGAUGUUUUAGUCCUACUUACAUUUUUUCAAUUUGUAUUCAUUAGCAUGGUUUUGAUCAAAGAGCAAAUGUUUAUUUUUAUUUUAUUUUUUUACGCAUUAUAUCUAUUAGAGAUUCUAGGUAUGAUCAUGAUAUUUUUCUUGAAUCUCCAAUAUCAUGAUCUUUUCCUUGAUUUUAGGUGUUAGCAAAUAUUGGAGAUUUUAAACAUGAUUAUGAUCAUGAUAUUUUCUUUAAUUUUAGGCAAUAGCAAAUAUUAUUUUAUUAAUUGUAAAUAUUCUCUUGGUGUAUUUCUUCUCUAUAUAUUCACAACUCAUGAGAAUAAAUGGUAGAAAAACUUUGACCCUAAAUUACUUACUUUCUUUUAUGGUAUCAGAGCCAUUAAACGUACAUCAUAUGGCUGGUGAAGGGGAGAAAAUAGAUUAAGGAGGGCCUACUCGAGUCAACGUAGAUUAAAUACUAGGAGCUAAUGGAGGGAGAAGUGUUGUGACUAAUUCUAAUAUAACAUGAAUUAGUAUGUUGAAUGACGAACAAUGGGCCACAUUACUCAGCAUGUUAAACUCACACAAAGGUGUUGCUAAUGAGAGGUUAACGAGUUUUUGUCUUAGAUUAUUAACACAAGGGCUUCGCAUCAUAUGGCUAUGACACAUGCAUGUUUGAGUGACUUGCAUGAUAUUGUGCCAUGUUUGUUCGGGUUGUCAGAUGGAAUGGAGACCAUAGCUUUGAAAGUAGGAAUAGUGAUCAUUAGAGAGAAAUUAAAACUACGACAUGUUCUAUUUGUGCCUAAGUUGAAGUGCAAUUUGAUUUUUGUGUCGUAGCUUCUUAGUGAUUCUAGUUUGAUUGUCCAAAUUACCUGCAAGGGUCUCAAAGGAGUGACUCCUCUUUAUGUUUAUAAAAUAAUUGGUAUUACAUCUUUCGAGCUCUGACAUAGAAAAAUGGGUCAUCCCUUUUUAGGAUAGUAGAAUUAAUUUCUAAAGUUUGUUGUGCUAAUAGAAAUGAUAGUGUCUAAAAUAAGUUUUGUGACAUUUGUUUUAGAGCUAAACAAACAAAAGAAAUGUUUUUUCCUAGUGAUAAUAAAGCUAAAGAAAGUUUUGACUUAAUCCAUUAUGAUUUAUGGGGAGCUUAUAAGGUUCAUGCUUCUUAUUGAACUGUUUAUUUCUUGACAAUUGUUGAUGAAUACUCUCAUUUGGCGUGGUUAUAUUUAUUGAAUUAAAAAAUGAGGGUGGGUUAUGUUCUUAAAAUUUCAUCCUAAUGGUUAUAUGAUAAUUUAUUAAAGAUGUGAAAUUUGUUAGGAUUGAUAAUGGUAUUGAGUUUAUGUGCUUGAAAAAAUAUUUUGCUAAAUGUGGAAAUUUGCAUCAAACUUCUUGUAUAAGCCGAAAGAGCAUUUUUGUGGAGUAUCCAUUUGGGAAGAAAGGCUGGAGGUUGUAUGAUUUAGAAACUAGAGAAUAUUUUAUCUCAAGGAAUGUUAUCUUCAUCAAAACCGAGUUCUCAUAUACAAACAGGAUUAAAAACUCCUCCUUGACCAAGAAUGGGGUUGUGAAUUACUCCGGAAAUGAUGAGGACUCAUAUGUGCAAGAUGACAUGGAGGAGUAGCAAGCUCCAAUAAUGGAUGUGGAGCACGAGGUGAAUACUGAGAUGAGUCAUGAUGAGGAAAUGCCUACUAAUAUAAAUAUUGGAGUAUGGGAUAUGGGUUAUUGACAUUGGAGGACCCACGAUGUCUGAUGAACACCUUGGCAAAAGAAAAAAGGUUAAGAAACCUUUUGUUCAUUUAAAGGAUUAUGUGAUGUAUACCAUUUGAGGAAACCCCUCAAUAGGUUCAUUGUUCCAAUCAAAGUCCUCAUAUACACCCUAUCAUAUAACACAUUAUGUGAUUUAUGAUAAAUUUUUUAUGCAACAUCGAUCUUUUCUUGCAGCUAUUACCACAGGGUAUGAACCUAAUACUUAUGAUGAGGCAAUAAAGGAUGAAUGUUGGAUAGAAACAAUGAGAAAAGGGAUACAAGCUCUUGAGGAAAAUGGGACAUGGAUAGUAAAAGAUUUGCCUCUCGAGAAGAAAAUAACUGGGAGCAAAUGGGUCUACAAGAUUAAAUAUAAUUAAGAUGGAAGCAUUAAGAGAUGCAAGACAUGAUUAGUGACCAUUGAGAACAAUUAAAUCGAAGGCAUAAAUUAUAAUGAAACUUUCAUCUCGACAGCAAAGGUGAUCACUAUACUAAUGUUUCUUGCAGUUGUAGCUAUAGGAAUUGGGAAUUGCAUCAUAUUGAUCUACAUACAUUUAUGCAUGUUGAGUCAGACGAAGAGGUAUAUAUGGAAAUGCCACUUAGUUUUUUUCCCUAAUGCCAGGUAAGCUAUGCAAACUUUAAAGGUCAUUAUAUGGUCUAUGAUAGACACUUAGGUGUUGGUUUGCCAAGUUAGCAGCGACAAUGAGAAAUAAUGGGUUUAAACAAUCGUAUUCUAAUUACUCACUUUUUUACUUAUGGAGAUCAACAUAUUCUACUCAAUAUUUUUGUCUAUGUUGAUGAUCUAAUUAUAUAUGGAAAUGUUGGAAAGUUUGUGCAAAAGUUCAAAGAUUAUUUUGAGUAUGUUUUUUUUUUCAUAUAAAAGAUAUGAGAAAAAUGAAAUAUUUCUCAGGAGUUAAAGUAGCAUGAAACUCGAAAUGUACCUUCUUGUAUCAGUGUAAGCAUGUAUUGGACAUCUUUUCUAAGACUAACUUAUUAGGAGUUAAGCUGGCUAACACUAUUCUUGAACAAAAUUGUAAAUUAACACUUGUUGAGAAUGUUGAUUUACACCAUCCUAGACCGUAUAGAUGUCUGGUAGGGCAAUUGAUUUACUUGAUGAUUACUUAGCCUGAACUGUCUAAUUGUGUGUAUGCUUCCACAAGUCAUGCAACAGCCGAAGGAUGAACAUUAAGAAAUAACUUUAAGAGUACUAAAUGUUCGGAAGGAAAUUCAGGUCAUGGUAUCCUCCUGCGUGUUGAUUAUAUAUAACAUCUUGCCCAUCACUAUACUUAAUUAAUUUGAAAAAUCCUAAUUAUUCGAGCCUUUGGCCACAUUAAACUUAUUUAAAUUACACUGCAUAUUAUUUAUCGUAAUUCGUAAAUCUGGUUAAUUUUUUUAAUUAUUUUUACUUUUAUUUAAUUUUAAUUUUUAUUAUUGUAUUUUGUAUUUAACUUAUUUAAAAAAAUUUAAAAAAAUUACGAAAAAUCAGAAAAAGGGUGAAAUGGAAAGAAAUCCCGCAGGAAAAAUACUGCGGGGAAGCAGAGAUGCCCGCGUGGAUAGGCCCUGCACGCCUGGGACCUGUGCGCGCGAUAGGAGGCCUGUGCGCCAACAUUCCAACCAUCAGUGCAUCGGUUGGGGCACUGCUGCCUCGGGUAGUGCACCGUCGUCGCCUCGGGCUGCACAACGCUGCCACUGAUGGAGGAGGCCCUCCUCCCUCAUUUUUCGUACCGAGCAUCUUUUUCUCCUCUAUCUUCACCGGAUUUCACCACCUUGUGCGAAAACAAUGGUUCUAAAAUUCUAUAAAUAGGUCUUCCCACCCCAUCCUUCCCCAAACUUCCAUUCUUCCAUUUUUCUAGACUUAGAGAAAGAGAAAAUGAGGGAGAGAGUAAUCUAAUUAGAGAAGGAGGAAAAGAAAAAAUGAACAGUGAAGGAGAAAACAUCAGGUUUUGAUAAAAAAUUUAGUAUUUCUUUCGAUGUUUUAAGGAAUAUUUUUAGAUAAAUAAACUUAUUAAACAUACUAAUUAUUAUUUUGCCUGCUUGUAAGCCUUUAUGUUUAUCAUUCAGAUAAGUUGAAUUGUUCUUGUUUUCAAAUAUACUAUGUGAAUUAUAGAUAUUUGAUGAUUUGCAUGUAAUAAACUAUAAUAUGAAAAUGGUAUUAUUACUGUAAAAUAAAGAUAAAAGAGAGAAAGAGAAAAUGANNNNNNNNNNNNNNNNNNNNNNNNNNNNNNNNNNNNNNNNNNNNNNNNNNNNNNNNNNNNNNNNNNNNNNNNNNNNNNNNNNNNNNNNNNNNNNNNNNNNNNNNNNNNNNNNNNNNNNNNNNNNNNNNNNNNNNNNNNNNNNNNNNNNNNNNNNNNNNNNNNNNNNNNNNNNNNNNNNNNNNNNNNNNNNNNNNNNNNNNNNNNNNNNNNNNNNNNNNNNNNNNNNNNCUGUAUUUUGAUAUAUAUUGCAUCAAGUAUCUCGUUAGCAUUUUUAUCUCUGAGGGGUAUCUGUUCCUCUAGCCUUUCGGGGUAUCUAUUUUUCCCUCCCUCAUCUGGUCUGAAAAGAUGUAAAAGGAUCGCUCUCAGUGGAUGACAGCGUACCCUCUGUCGAAAGUGGUAACGUGAAUAUUUGUAAGGGAUCACCCUUGGUUAAGUAUUGUUAUGACUGUAGAUAUCUGAUAGAGCCACUAUGGUUAGUACGGUCGUGGUCGUAGAUUGUACCAUGAUUUGGCCAGCCGAAAAUGGGUCUGAGCAAAUUGUUGUAUUUGUAUAUGAUCUAGUCAUUCCACUUGGGUAAUUAGAAAUCUGUAUCUGCCUUCAGAGAUGGAAGUUGUAAUGACUUCGGGAAGUAUGACAUGAAAAUCUGAGCAUUUCAUAAUUUAUUUGAUUUUUUUAUUAUCUGGCAUUAUGUAUGUUUGGUGUGUUCAUAUUAAUGUACUGUUUUCUUAAUAAAAAAAUUAUUUUCAUAAUGUAAGAACAACCUACGAGGUGGCCAAAUGGUAAGCUUUUAAGUUAAAAAAAUUCACCUUUAAAACUUUACGAUGUUAAUUUAAUAUUGUUUUUCUUAAUGAACAUAUAGAACUCACUCUUUCUAUCUUUCCCCCCAUAUGAGGAAAAAAAUGAGAAACCGCAGGCUGACCUACCUUUGAAAGUCUAUGAGGAUCCUGUUGAUCCACAAAAAUUGAAUACAUGAUUGUUUUCGUACUCUAAUAAAUCCAAUAGCAUAGUGAAAGAAGCGACAUUCUUUUAUGUUUGGUUUUUUUUUUUAUUUUGUAACCACUUUAACCCUCAGUUAUUUGUAUGUAAUUGGAACUCAUAUAUAUAUUUGUAAGGAAUUUGUAUUAAUUGUUUCGCUGCAUAAAAUUUUAUUGUGCAUUCGUUAUACUGAAUUUGUAUCUGACAUCCAUUUGCCUUAAUUAGCAUCUAGGAUAUCACAGAUGAUAUCAGAGCAGAAUAAUUACAGAUCAAAUCCUUUACACUGAGGCCUUAAGUAGAAAAAGCCAUUUAGAGUACCUAAGAAAAAUAAGUCUUCUUUUCAAAACUGGACCACUAACUCGUGUCUUCCUUUUUUUUUUAUAAGAAUGACAUGAGGAAGACCAUUUAUAGAGUGUACUGAGUGACCUGAAGCCCCAGAUCACCCAACUAAGGAUGAAUUUGUUGAACUCUUUCGAGCUAUCCAAGGAUUAACUACAGCCAUAGGACAAAAUAAAGUUAACCCUUAUCCACCUCCUGCCCCCAAAUUUUGAAACAUCGAAAGAUCCAUUUCCUAUAACAUAAUAUAGUUUAGGAAACUUAACCCCCUACACUUUGAAGGUGGCCCUGAUCCCUUAGUAGCUGAAGCUUGGAUCCUACAGAUAGAUAACCUCUUCUCUGUUCUAGACCUGACCGAGAAACAAAAAGUUUCCCUUGCAGCCUUCAUGCUAAACAACGAAGCAGAACACUGGUGGCAACUUAAAAAGGAAGUCCCACUUACCCCUACCACCUAGGAAGUUUUCAUGGAUGCAUUCUUUGAUAACUUCUUCCCUGCCUAUGUCAGAGAAAAGAAGGAGAAGGAAUUUCAGGACCUCCGCCAAGGGAAUCUGAUGGUUGCCUAGUAUGUAGCUCGUUUUGUUCAAUUAUCUAGGUUUAACCCUCUAAUGGUCACACCUGAGAGCUGAAAAGUUAGAAAGUUUCUCAAGGGCCUUCGUGUCGACAUCUAUGACUAGCUCGCGAUAUUGAGAUCCAGCUCGUAUGCGAAAAUGCUUGAAUAUGCCCAGUUGGCCGAAGAUCUCAUCUCAGCCAAGCACCAACGUAUUGCCCGAGUCUGUACCCAACAACAACUCCAGUAGCUUAGGAUGAGAUUACCUGACCUAGUAAGUAGCCAUCCUAAUAAACGAACAAGAGUUAUCCUUCCUCUACUUUGCAUCCACCUAUAAUUCAACCUGCCCGACUUAACCAACCCUAUCAGCAUUGUGGUCACUCGAAUGGUGACCUACCCUAUCGACGUAUCUAUAAUGCAUGUUAUUGGUACGGAAACACGCAACACCUUAUAAAGGAUAGCCCCCAGCGAUAAAGGAUGCCACCUAGCCUAUAGCACAAGGUCGCGUGUACCACUUGGAUGAACCCAAUACUCUUGCUACUCCUGUUUUUAUCUAGGGUAUGCUUUCAAUUCAUGAAACUUCUGUCAAGGCUUUAAUCGAUACAGGUGCUACUCACUCUUUUAUUUUUCAUACAUUUGCUUGUAAUCUUGAUUUUAGACUAGAACCUUUGACAAAAAUAUUUAAUAGUAGAAACUCCCUCUAGGGGACUGCUAGAGGCUCAUUGUGUAUAUAAAGAUUGUAGAUAAAAGCUUCAGGAAUAAAAGUAUUUAUAAAUAUGAUACUAUUAGAUUUGGUAAGAUUUGAUGUGUUAUUAGGAAUGGACUAAUUGGAAAAGUAUAGAGUUGUAAUCGAUUGUGAAAGUAAAAUUGUAACUUUACGAUCUCUGAAAAAAGAAUAAAAUUUUUGUUACUAUUUUUUCUAACUAAUGAAUGAACAGAGAUACAGGUGUUGAUCCUGCUGUGUGUACCAUACCAAUUAUUUCUAACUUUCUAGAUGUCUUUCCUAUUGAACUUCUUAGUCUGCCUCCCCCGCGAGAAGUAGAGUUCUUAAUUGAAUUGCUGCCUGAAACUUAACCAAUCUCGAAGUCUGCUUAUUUUAUGAGUCGUGCUGAGCUAAUAAAGCUGGAACAUCGGCUUUUUGACCUUGUUACUCAGAAGUUUGUUCGCCCUAACCAUUCUCCUUGGGGCGCUUCAGUGUUGUUCAUUAAAAAAAUGAUUGUUUCCUCAGGCUCUGCAUGGACUACUGAAAACUCAACCGAGUGACCGUUAAAAACAAAUACCCCUUACCUCGGAUCGAUGACCUCUUCGAUCAACUGUAAGGAGUCAUGGUCUUCUCUAAGAUCAAUCUCAGGAUGGGAUACUACUAGUUAGAGUCAAAUAAGAAGAUAUUUCGAAGAUUGUCUCCUGAUGCAGGUACGGUUUGUACGAGUUCAGGGUAAUGCCGUUCGGAUUAACUAAUGCCCCUGCAACCUUCAUGGAAUAAACAGAGUUUUUCAGCAUACACUAAAUCAAUACAUCAUCAUUUUUAUUGAUGACAUCCUAGUGUAUUCUAAGAGUCUUGAAGAACAUGCAGUGCAAUUGACUGAAGUGUUAAAGAAUCUUCGCCCGAACCAACUGUACUUUAAAUUGAGCAAAUACUCUUUAUGGUUGGAUCAAGUUUUCUUUCUCGAACAUGUAAUUUUGAGUGAAGGAGUUUUCAUAGACCCAUCCAAGGUAGAAACGGUAGUCAACUGGAAUCUGCCCACCAAUGUGGCUGAGGUCCAUAGUUUUCUUAACUUUGCAGGUUAUUACCGAUGGUUCAUUGAUGGAUUCGAUAAGAUUGCCACCUCACUAGCCUGACUCACCUGAAAGGUGGUACCUUUCAUAUGAAAUUAUGAGUGUAGUGAAAGCUUCAUGGAAUUGAAGUAUCAUCUUACCUUUGCUCUUGUGUUGAUCGUCCCCGACAAUGUGGAAGAUAUCAUGUCUACCGCAAUGCAUCUCAUAUUAGCUUGGGGUGUGUCCUGAUGUAGCAUGGUAGAUAGUCACUUAUGGGUCCCAACAAUUGAAACCUUAUGAGCAGAACUACUCUACCCAUGACCUAGAGCUAGAAGCCACUAUCUUUACCCUGAAAAUAUGACGCCAUUACCUGUAUGGUCAGACUUUUAAAAUUUAUAUUGACCAUAAGAGUUUCAAAAUACAUAUUUUCAUAGAAGGAGUUAAACAUAAGACAGAGACGUUGGAUGGAUCUUUUGAAGGACUAUGACUGCAAGAUCAUCUAUCACCUCGGGAGAGAAAAUGUGGUUGCUGAUGCACUGAGUCAAAAGGAGUCUGUUGUAUUGGCUCAAACCAUGACCUCUAGUUAGAAAUUGAUGAACAUUAUGCAAUCUCUCCACCUUAGCUAUUAUGGCAAAAAUACCUAUUUUGCCUAGAUCUGACCCUGCCAGAUCUCUUUAUGAAAAUCUGGGAAGCUCAAUCCACUAACCUAGAACUCACCAAGAAUUUAAGUAAGUUUACUUCUGAUGAAUCUUUUAAUUUCAGGAUUUCAGAUGAUGGACUGUUCAGAUUUUAGAACCAAAUUUAGGUCACCGUUGCUGUAAGAGCGGAUGUUCUCAAGACCACCCACACUUCUAUGCUAUCCAUCUGUCUCGGAAGUACCAAAAUGUAUCGGAAUUUGAAGUAUCAGUACUAGUGGCCAGAAAUGAAUAAGGAUAUAGUUGACUAUGUCUCUCGAUGCCUUACUUAUCAACGGAUUAAGGUAGAACAUUCGAGACCCGAUGGUUUGUUACAAGGUCUUCUAAUUCCUGAAUAAAAAUAGAGCAUAUAACUAUGGAUUUUUUUACAAGAUUAACCAGGACCUGUUCUUGUCAAAACAUUAUCUAGGUCAUUAUGGACAUAUUGACCAAGACCGUCCAUUUUCUGCCCGUUAGAACCACUGACUCAACUAGCAAGUUAGCCCGCCUAUAUGUUGAUGAGAUUAUUUGACUUCAUGGUGUUCCCUCAUCCAUUGUGUCCGACCGUGAUCCUUGGUUUACUUUCCACUUAUGGGAUAACUUCUAGGAAGCUCUUAGGUCUGGGUUGUAUUUCAAUAUUGCUUAUCAUCCCCAAACGGAUAGUUCGUCAAAACGUAUGAUCCAAACAUUGGAAGACAUGUUGUGUGCUUACGCCUUCCACUUCGGUGAUAACUGGUAUGAGUAUCUUUCUUUUUAUGAAUUUACUUAUAAUAAUAGUUAUCAUUCCAGUAUUGUUAUGGUCCCGUAUGAAACAUUAUAUGAAAGGCCUUGUCGUUCUCCUACUUGUUGGAGUGAAGUCGAAAACCAGUAUAGACUUAGUUCAAGAGACCAUUGAAAAGGUCGCAAUCAUCCACAAGAACUUGGCCACUGCCCAGAGCCAUCAAAAGAGUUAUGCCGACAAUCGUAGGUGACCUUUAGAGUUUGCCAUGGGAGAUCCGGUCUUCCUCAAGGUUUUCUCCUAUAGGGAAAAGAUGCGGUUCGAGAAGAGAGGGAAGUUGAGCCCUCAUUAUAUGGGACCUUUUUGGAUUAUCGAGCACAUUGGACCUGUGGUAUACCGUCUCGAUCUAUCCCGAGAAUUUACGAGUCUACAUGAUGACUUUCACGUCUCGAUGCUUAAGAGGUACCACCCUGAUGCUUCUCAUAUUAUUCAUCACGGUGAGGUGCAUAUAUAAACCGACAUGACUUAUGAGGAGUUUCCCGAAGAGAUUCUUGGGUGGAUCGAUAAAGUCUUGCGUAACAAGACGAUUCCCAUGGUGAAGAUAUGAUGGCAGCAUCACACCAGCAAGCCACGUGGGAGUUGGAGAGCAAGAUGAAGGAGACGUAUCUGGACCUGUUCAAGAUAAAUUUGGGGACCAAAUAUUUUUAAGGUGGGGGGCAUAUAACACCCCGUCAAUCGUUGUGCGUAAUUAAUUUGGAAAACCCUAAUUGUUUGAGCCUUUAGCCAUAUUAAACUCAUCAAAUUACACCAUGUAUUAUUUAUCGUAAUUCGUAAAUCUAGUUGAUUUUUUUAUUAUUUUUGCUUUUAUUUAAUUUUAAUUUUUAUUAAUUAAUUUUGCAUUUAACUUAUUUAAAUGAAUUUUUAAAAAUUGGAAAAAUUGAAAAAUCAGCGAAACAGGAAGAAAUCUCAUGGGAAAAAUCCCGCGAGGAAGCAAAGCUGUCCAUGUGGAUACCGCGCACGUCCCAUCCACAUGCACGCAUGCACGUCCCAUCUGUUCGCACAGCGGGGGGACAGGUCCUGCACAUGUUUUAUUGUGCGCAGGUGGGCCCUCCGUGUGUCACCUCACGCGCGGACAGGCACUGCACACUAUGCGUGCGUCAUCCGUGCAGCAGGCCUAUGUGGAUAGGCCUUGCACGCAUGGUAAGAGGCCUGUGCACCUGUAGGCUAGCCUGCAGCAUGCCAGUCGAGGCACUACCAUCACUUUAGGUGACGUGCCGCUGCCAUCGAUGGAGGAGGCCCUCCUCCCUUAUUUUUUGUGUCAGGUAUCUUUUUCUCAUCUCUCUUCACCGAUCUUGCCACUUGACGUGAAUCCGACAAUUCAAUUUUAUAAAUAGUCCUUCCCACCCCAUUCUUCCCCACAUUUCCAUUUUUCUAUUUUUCUAGACUUAGAGAGAGAAUAGGAGAAAGAGAGUAAUCUAGUGAGAGAAUGAGGAAAAGAAAAAAGGAAUAGUGAAGGAGAAAACAUCAAAGUUUCUGGUAAGGAAUUUAGUAUUUUUUUCAAUGUAUUAAGGGAUAUUUUUAUAUAAAAUAAACUUAUUAAACAUGCUAAUUAUUAUUUUUUCUGCUUGUAUGCCUUUGUGUUUAUCAUUCAGAUAAGUUGAAUUGUUCUUGUUUUCAAGCAUGCUAUGUGAAUUAUAGAUACUUGAUGAUUUGCACGUAAUAAACUAUAAUAUGAAAAUGGUAUUAUUAUCCACUAAAAAUAAAGAAUAAAAAGAAGAAGAAAAGAGAAAAAUGAAAUGAGGCAUGAAUGGUCCAAAAUAUAUAUCUGUAUUUUGAUGUAUACUGCAUCAAGUGUUUUGUUAGCCUUUUUAUCUCUAAGGGGUAUCUGUUCCUCUAGUCCUUCGAGGUAUCUAAUUUUUCCUCCCCCAUCUGGUCUGGAAAGAUAUAAAAGAACUGCUCUUAAUGGAUGACGGCGUACUCUCUAACAAGAGUGGUAACGCGAAUAUGUAUUAGGGAUCACCAUUGACUAAGUACUGUCGUGACUAUAGAUAUCUGAUAGAGCCACUAUAGUUAGUACGGUCGUGGUCGUAGAUCGUACCAUGGUUUAGUCAGCCAGAAAUAAGCUUAAGCAAAUUGUUGUGUCUGUAUCUGAUCUAGUCAUUCCACUUGGGUAGUUGAAAAUCUGUAUCUGUCUUCAGAGAUGGAAGUUAUAACGACUUCCCGAAGUAUGACACGAAAAUCAGAGCAUUUUAUGAUUUAUUUGAUUUUUUCUAUUAUCUGGCAUGAUGUAUGUUUGGUUUGUUCAUAUUAAUGUAUUAUUUUCUUAAUAAAUAAAUUAUUUUCAUAAUACAAUAUCGGUCUAGGAAGUGGCCAAAUGGUAUGCUUUUAAGUUAAAAUAAUUCAUCUUUAAAACCUAACGAUGAUGAUUUAAUACUGUUUUUCUUACUAAAUAUAUGAAACUCACUCUUUUCAUCCCUCCCCUCAGAUGAGGAAGAAAAUGAGGAACCACAAGCUGACCUAUAUUUAGAAGUCUAUGAGGAUCCCGUGAUCCACAAAAUUUAAGUGCAUGAUUGUUUUUGCACUUUGAUGAGUCCAAUAGCAUAGUGAAAGAAGUGGCACUCUUUUAUUUUUUUUUAUUUUGUAACCACUUCAAGCCUCAGUUAUAUGUAUGUAAUUGGAACUCAUAUAUAUAUAUAUAUAUAAGAGAUUUGUAUUAAUUGUUCUGCUGUAUAAAAUUUUAUCAUGCACUCGUUAUUUCAAAUCUAUAUCUAAUACCUAUUUGCCUUAAUUAGCAUUUGUGAUGUCACAUUGUAACCUAAAACUAUAUGCUUCUUGUGACUCUGAUUGGGUUUGAGUAGUUAUUUUGUUCUUUUGGGUAAUCUGUCAAUCUCUUGGAAGACUAAGAAGCAACAGAUAGUGUCUAGAUCUUCAACUAAAGCAGAAUAUAAGUCCAUGGAAACAAUGGCUUGUGAAUUAAAGUGGUUGAAAGGAUUGUUGUCUAUUAUUUGUUUGAUGCAUUGAGGACUUAUGUGUCUGUAUUAUGAUAGUUAUACAACUUUGGACAUAGUUGUUAAUCCAGCUUUUCAUGAACGAACAAAACAUAUUUAAAUUGAUUGCCUCUUUGUACAUGAUGAAAUACAAAAUGGCAAUAUUUGAACAAAAUACGUCCAUACUUCUAUAUAGCUUGCAGACAUCUUCAUGAAAGCUUUAGGCAAGCAAUAAUUUGAUUUUUUUCUUUGCAAGUUGGGCAUUCAGGAUCUUCAUGCUUCAACUUGAGGAGGGUAUUAGAGAUUUUAUGCAUGAUUAUGAUCAUGAUCAUGAUCCAUUCCUUGAAUCUCUAAUAUCAUGAUCUUUUCCUUAAUUUUAGGCAUUAACAAAGGUUAGAGAUUUUAGGCAUGACCAUGAUCAUGGUAUUUUUCUUGAUUUUAGGCAUUAAUAAAUAUGAUCAUGAAUAUAUAUAUAAUAUUUCUUCUAUAUAUAUAUAUAUAUACUUAUUCACAACUCAUGAGCCAUAAAACAAAUUACUUAGAUUAUUUAAAUAUAUAUUCUAUUUGUUAAUAAGAGAUCACCCAAGCGUGUUCUAUUCAGAAAAUCUUUAAACAUUAAAUUAUCAUGAUUCUACCAUGAAUUUGAAGUUUCAAUUGAUUCGUAGAGUCUUAACAAGAGAAUUCCUAUCAAUAAUAAAGAAAACAAGAAACUUAAAUAGAUAAUAUAGAAGAUUUAAAAGGCCAGUAAUUGUAACACAAGAAUAAAGAUGAAUGAGCUAACUUGAUUUUUUAGUAUUUAACCACAAAAAUUAAAUUCCGUAUUUUUAUUCUUUAAAUAAUAUCAAAUGAGAGAAUUAAGAAGUUUUAAUCUUUCUAUUAGAUAUACGUCAACGAAUAUUGAGUGUUUUUGUUUGCGCUGUACUACAUAAAUAUUUCAUAUAUGGUUCACGGAGAGUAAGUCUUCUUGGUUUACCUAUCUUAAUAAAUUCUAUAAUUGGUUAAAAAAAUGUCUUGAAUUCAAUAGUUUGCAGAUGAUAUAACUAGUCAAUGCAUACCUUCUCAUGUCAACAUAUUUUAUUAUUUAGGAGGAAUACCCUCCUCCAAGAAAGAGGAUUGGUUUAUGGUUGAUUCAAUAAAAUAAAUAGGAAUUUCUAGUUCUACAUUGUGAAAAACCCCCUCUUUUUUUGUGGAAGUAACUAUUCCUUUUUCUUUUACAAAGGUAUAACACUCCGAGACUUUGCGCUUAAUUUGUAAUGUGAACUCCUAUUUAUUCGGAGCCUAAGGUCACUUAAACUCCUUAAAUAUUUCAUAAUUUUAAUUUUUUGGAUAAAUAUCGUAUUUCAUAUUUCAUUUAAUUAAAUAAUUUUUAAAUUUUAUUAUUUUAUUUUAUCAUAAGAAAACUUAUAUUAUAUUUGUAAUUUAAAAUAAUUAUCAAGAAAAAUGGAGAAAAGGUGAAAAAAUCUCGCGAGAAUGCUUGUGAGAAAGAUCCUGCCUAUGUAGGCUCCGUAUGCCACCCGUGCGAGCGUGCACAUGCAGCCAGUGCGGGACGAAGGCACUGUGCACACGUCCUGUUCGUCGAGGUGCAAGGCAUGGUAUGCACACCUGGCCCAUCGCGCACAGACGGGCGCAACUCCAUGCGCCCUGUGCACGCGAUGUCUGCACGAUAGGCCUGCAUGCAGCACCCUGCGCGCGGCAAGCUAGGCCAGCGUGCACUGCAGGCCAGUCUUGUGUGCAGCUGGUUGGGGCAGCGUGUGACUGCCUCAGGUAGUGCCCGCUACCUACUUGGGUGUCGUGAGUCGCCUUGGGUGACAUCUCGUUGUCAAUUGGGUGGUGUGCCUCUAUUUUUCAUGUUGUCGUCACUUUGCAUCAUCCAUCUAUCGGUCACAUCAGUCAAUAAUCACAUCACUUUUUUUCCAUUGACUUUCUCUCUCAUCACUAAAUUUUAUCACUUGGCACAAAUCUGACAGUCCCCAUUUUCUAUAAAUAGGGACCCUCCCUUCAUCAUUUCCUCAUCACUUCCAUUCCAUUCUUCCAUACUCCAAGAGCUUAGAAAGAAAAUGAGUGAUCUAGAGAGAGAGGGAGAAGAGAAGAAGAAGAAAAGAUGUAGGAAAAUAUCGAGGUUGCGGUAAGAAAUUUAGUAUUUACUUUUAAAUAUUGUAAGGAGUAUUUUUAGAAUGAAAAUUAAUUUUGUUUAAAUUUAUGAUUUGUAUGGUUGAAUUCUAUGUCUAAACGAAGUAAUUUUACAUGAUAAUGUAUGCAUUAUAAUCAUAUAAGAACUUAUCAAUUUGCAUGUUUAAUUUAUAUAAUUUGAUGCUCGAAAUAAAUGUUGAUAUGUGAUGCUAUUGACGGUGGAAAAAUGAUUAAGCAUGAAAUGAUAUAUAGGCAUGAGAGAUAUGUAUUGGUAUUGGCAUGCAUAAAGUGUUUCGUUAGGUUUUUAAUCUCUAAGAGGCUUCUAUUUCUCCUCCAUCUGGUCUAAAGACCGCUUCUUGUGGAUGGUGAUGUAUCCUUAGACAAGAGUAGUGAUACGACAUGAUUGUAGGGGUCACCAUUGGCGAAGUAUAGUCGUGGCCAUAGUUAAUAUGUAGGACUACUAUGGUUGGCAUGACCGUGGUCAUAGAUUGUGUCAUGGUGUGGUAAGCUGUAAAUGUGCUAUUGGUUUGACAAAUCAUAAAUUGUUGUUAUAAAUGAAAUGAGUUGGUCAUUUCACAUGAGUAGUCGAAAAUCCGUAUUGUCCUCAGUAGAUGUAAGUGAGAACAACUUCGCGAAAAAUAACAUGAAAGACAACGCAUAUUUAUGAUUUGUUUGAUUUUUUCUAUUAUUAGCGUGAUUAAUUUGACAUAACUGUGACACGAUGGAUAUGAUGUUUUCUUUAAUAAAUAAAUUANNNNNNNNNNNNNNNNNNNNNNNNNNNNNNNNNNNNNNNNNNNNNNNNNNNNNNNNNNNNNNNNNNNNNNNNNNNNNNNNNNNNNNNNNNNNNNNNNNNNNNNNNNNNNNNNNNNNNNNNNNNNNNNNNNNNNNNNNNNNNNNNNNNNNNNNNNNNNNNNNNNNNNNNNNNNNNNNNNGAGAUUUAUAAUAACUUACUCUGCUGCAUACAUUUAACUAUUAUGCACUCGUAAUCUAUUUUUGUUUGUGGUACCUCUUAUGCCUUAAUUAGUAUUUGAGAUGUCACAAAUAGUACCAGAGCAGUUAUGCAGAAUAAUACUUUACAACUGAGACUGUAGGUAGAAAUUCCCUCUAGGAUACUUAGAAAAUAUGUCAUCUUUCAAAAACUAGAUCACCAACUCGUGUCUUUCUUUUCUUUUGUUGGAAUGACGCGAGGAAGACUUUUUGUACAAAUGGCAACAAAAGGCAUAACCUGUUCAAAUAAUUAAAUAAUUGAAAAUGAAUUAUUUGUAAAAUUUAGUUGAAUUGUGAAUCCAAUGCAUCCUAUUUAAUAGAGAGACGGAUAUCCCUUACUCAUUAUCAGACAAUCACCUACUCACAAACUUCAUGUAGGGCUAAUAGUUUUUUUUUUUUUCUCUUUGAAUAUGCAUGGCUUUGACAAUUCCUUAAGCUUGCCAAUUAGUUAACUAUAGACAUAUUUUAGUUAACAGUCAUAUAGUAUAUAUGCCAAGUUAUCACUAUAGACCCCGAGAUAUUAUUAUAGUGGAGGAUGAACAAAAAUCUAGAGCUUCGUUUCAAAAUUUUCUUGAUUCAUCCACCUACGAGGAAUUGUCAAACUUUUUGAUUCUUCACACAUUCUAAUAAAAAGAGUAAUAAUCAAAUAAUAGAUAGAAAAUAGGUCAGCUUGAAAAUACAUAUUUAUCUAUGUAGAAUAUUAUUUUCGUCAAACUUAAAACUAACUUAACGAAAAUAAGAAAAUAAGAGUUCAUACAACUUUACAAAAAUAAGGGCAUAAGGUAAGGGAUUUGGUUUGGCUUUUUAUCUCCUUUCGAAUUUUCUUUUAUUCAACUUUUCUCCCACUCUUGUAGCAUAGAUCAGUAGAGAGAUUUAUAUAUUUUAUUUGCAAUGUCUAGUAUCUUUCUUAUAAGAAAUUAGGAAUAGAGAAUCUAUAUCAAAGAAAUGUCUAACUCUUUGGAAUCAACUACAAUUGAAUUUAAAACAUUAUAUUCAUUAAUGUAAGAUUGGUGAAUUAAUUAAAAGUUCAAAAAGAGGGAUUCAAACCCUUGGUAAACAAAAGCAUAAAAUAAUAUUUUAAAUUCUAGAUCUCAAAUCACUCAACCAUCUCUCCUAUAAAAUGAUUGUGACUGAGCACUAGGAUGAAUAAUGAGUUAAUCAUACUUUUUUACGCUAUGUUUAAUUGUGCCUUUAGCUCAUAAUUCUAUUUAGACUUUUGAUGCGUAACCUAGGAUAAACAAUGUAAUAAAAAAUGCUACAUAUAAUAUCAAUAUGUAGAAAACUUCAAUCCCUGAUAAAACCUUCUUAUCUGACCCACAUUCAACAUGUGAAUGCAAACCAAAGUAAUUGAGAAUUAAGAAACGGAAUUGAAAAGACAUCACGAGCUUACCUCAAUAAAUAAAUCCAAUUCUUAAGCUCAACAAGAUGGCUAAAGAACCUCACUUGAUUGAACACUCCCAACUAGCAUAAACUAAAAGCAAUAAUUUAUUUGUUUUAUUGAUAUGAAAAUUUGGUGAAUACAACUAAAAUUGAAUAGAUUUUAAUAGAGAAAACUCCAAAUAAAAUUGAAAUAGAUUCAAAACGAUGUUACUGCAUGGAUGAGGAUUAUAAACUCUCUUGUUUUUUUUUUUUUUUCAUUCAUCAAGUAAUUUUUAUUAAGUUAAAAGGUUACCAUUCUUUACAUGUUGUUUUACCUAAAAGGCCUUGUAAUAUGUCAUUUCAUCUAAAAGGUUACCACUUUUCACAUGUCGUUUUAUCUAAAAAAUCUUUUUCACAUGUCACUUCAUCUAAAAGAUUACUACUUUUCAUAUGUCACUUUAUCUAAAAGUUGUAAUUUUUUGUUAUGUUAUUUUGUCUGAAAGUUAUCACUUUUCAUUAUACCAGUUCAUUUAAAAUAUUCCUACUUUUUCUCAUGCCUCUUCAUGCUUAUUCUAUCUCCUUCAUCCUUAUCCAUCCUUUCUCCAUAUGAUUUUACAUUAUGCCCUUAACUUAAUUAUAUAUAUUUCAAACACAUGUAAAGCUAAAUUAAAUAUAUCAAAUAUAAUAAAUUUAACUUGGAGGUAUUCUCAAGUUAUCACAUCUAUUGGUCAUACCAUAGAUGUGGGUAUUUGGCCUUUAUUUCCUCUUCUGGCUCCUAUGUGGCUUCUCCAGUCGAAUAGUGCUGUCAUAAUACCUUUACUAAGGAGAUUAUCUUGGACCGUAAUAUCUUUUCUUUACGAUCCACUAUCUGCACAAGAAGCUCAAUGUAGGAUAGGUUAUCCUGAAGUGCAAGGGAUUUAUAUCGAAGUAUAUGUGAUGGAUCUGGGUGAUAUUUCUUCAACGUCGACAAUGGAAGAUGUUGUGUAUGUUGCCUAACUCAGGUGGCAAUACUAAACGGUAGGUGACAACUCCCAUUCUAUCCAAUAUCUCAAAAGGUCCAAUAAAUCGAAGACUGAAUUUUUCUUUCUUCCUAGAUCUCAUAAUCCCUUUAAUUGGUGAGAUUUUUAAAAAUAUAUGUCGUCUACUUUGAAUUCUAAGUCUCUUCUUCGAUUGUCGCCAUAACUUUUCUGCCUAUUUUGAGCUGUUAGGAGAUAUUUUCGGAUCAAUUUCAGUUUCUUUGUAGUUUCUUCCACUAAUUCAGGUCCAACUAGUUGUCGUUCUCUAACUUCUUCCCAACAAAUAGGUGAUCUGCAGGGUCUUCCGUACAAAGCCUCAUAGGGUGCCAUUUGAAUGCUAGAUUGAUAACUAUUAUUGUAUGCGAACUCAAUCAAAGGUAAAUGAUCGUCCCAAUUAUCUCGUAACUCAAUGACACAGACUCGUAGCAUAUCUUCUAAAGUUUAAAUUGUCCGUUCUGAUUGACCAUUUAUUUGAGAUGGAAAGCCAUACUAAAGGAUAGCUUGGUCCCCAUAGCAUUCUGUAGAUCAGUCCAAAAUCUUGAAGUAAAGUGGGGAUCUCAAUGGAAGACGAUUGUGAUUAGAAUUUCAUGCAAUCUCACAAUCUCUUUGAUAUAGAGCCUGGCCAAUUUAUCCAGUGAGUCAUUUACUUUAACAGCUAGAAAAUGAGCAGACUUAGUUAAUCUAUCAAUGAUAACUCAUAUAGCAUCAUAUUAGGAUCUUAUUUUAGGUAGACCUACUACGAAAUCCAUAGUAACAUAUUCCUGUUUCCACUAUGUUACCGAUAAAGGUUGAAGUAUGCCUGUUGGUCUUUGAUGUUCAGCAUUCACUUAUUGGCAUAUUAGACAUUUAGAAACAAACUCUGCUAUAUCCUUCUUGAUCCCACUCCAUCGAUAUUUGGUCAUCAAGUUCUCAUACAUCUUAGUGUUGGCAGGGUACAUAGCAAAUCUAGAGCAAUGCGCUUCUUCAAAAUCUCAUUUUCAACUAUUAUUAUUUUACAUAUUUGCUUUCUUUCAAACUCAUACACAUCUUCGAAAGUCUGAAUUAUAGCCUAAGUCCCUUAUUAACAUCUUCCAUAAUCGACUUUAAGAGAAGAUUAGACUGCUGAGCUUCUCUAAUUUUCUGUAUCAAAAUGGGUUAUACUUUUAUAUUGGCUAGGUAUCUUCCUGAUCUCUUAUGUCGGACAUUCAGAUUCAAUUUUUAGAACUCCUCUAUGAGUCUCCACUAUAAGGCCAUUAUGUAGGCAAGAGUGCAAGUACUCUUCCUACUAAGUGCAUCUGUAACCAUAUUACCUUUUUUCGGAUGGUAUAGAAUCUUGCAAUCAUAAUCCUUAAGUAAUUUCAUCCAUCUCUUUUGGCGCAUAUUAAGUUCUUUAUACGAGAACAAAUACUUCAAACUCUUAUAGUAUGUGUGAAUCUCGAAACUUUCACCAUAUAGAUAAUGAUACCAGAUCUUCAAGGUAAAAAUUACGGCGACUAGUUCUAAAUCAUGGGCAGGAUAGUUCUGCUCAUGAUUCUUUAAUUUUCUAGAACCAUAAGCUACGUGUUGUAUUAGCACGCAUCCCAACCCUUAUUUUGAAGCAUCACUGCAGAUAGAGAAUCUACCAGUACCAUUAGGAAUAAUCAAUACCGGAGCUAUUGUCAAUCGUUUCUUUAAUUCUUAAAAACUUUGUUCAUACUUAUCAUUCCACUCAAACUUUGUAUCUUUUCUAGUGAGAUGAGUUAGUAGAGUAGCAAUUUUAAAAAAUUUUCAAUAAAUUUCCUAUAGUAUCCAGCUAGACUAAGGAAACUUCAAGCUUCAGUUACCGUUGUAGGCAUUUUUUAGUUUACUACUACUAGUCCUUUGAAACUAUAUGUACAAGGAAGGCAAUAUCAUUUAACCAAAACUCACACUUUUAAAACUUAGCACACAACUUUUAUUUCCUAAGUAUCCCAAACAUUAUUGUCAAAUGCUCUGCAUGUUCAGCCUCACUUCGUGAAUAAAGCAGUAUAUCAUCAAUGAAGAUGAUGACAAACUUAUCCAAGAAUAGCUGAAAGACUCUAUUCAUCAAAUCCAUAAAUACUGCAGGAGCAUUUAUUAGACCAAAAGGCAUGACUAAGAAUUCGUAAUAGCCAUACCUUGUUUUAAAGAUAGUCUUAGGAAUAUCUUCUUUCUUAAUUUUUAGUUGAUGAUAUCCAGAACGUAGAUCAAUAUUUAAAAAUACUUGGGCUCCUUGAAGUUGGUCAAAUAAAUCAUCGAUAUGAGGCAACGCAUACUUAUUCUUUAUGGUAACUUGGUUUAUUUGCCUAUAAUCAAUACAGAGUCGCAUAGUACCAUCUUUCUUUUUUACAAAUAGUAGUGGAGCUCCCCACGGUGAUACACUUGGUAUGAUGAAACCCUUUAAUUCCUGCAAUUAUUUCUUGAGUUCCUCUAAUUCGGCUUUCGCCAUUCGAUACGGAGCCUUAGAGAUAAGACUCGUACUAGGAAUUAAGUCAAUGAAGAACUCAAUCUCCCUUUCUAUAGGUAAACUUGGAAGAUCUUAUGGGAAAGCUUCAGAAAAUUUCUUCACUACCGAUAUCUAUUGUAGAUUGACUUAUCUACUUUUAUUCUCCACUACGUAAGCCAAAUAACCUGCACAUCCCUUCUCAAGUAAUCGUUGAGCUUGAAUACAAGAUAUGAGACAUGGAUAUUGGGGCUCCCUAAUCCCUUUGAAUUUAAAGGCCUUAUCAUUGGGAAUAUUAAAAGUAAUUUUCUUUCCAUGACAAUCUAUAUUAGUAUAGUACGCUGCCAACCAAUCCAUUUCUAGUAUGACAUCAAAAUCAUGCAUGUCUAAGAGUAUAAGAUCUACUAGUAACUCUUUAUUGACAAUCUCUACAAUACAUGCUCGACAGAUUGUACUAGUGGUCAAGUUCUUAUUGGCUAGAGUAGAAACUAUUAAUACAUAUUCUAAAGGUGACUGUUCAAUGUUCAGAUAUUGAGUAAACUCAUGUGAUGCAAAAGAGUGUGUAGAUCCUAGGUUUAUUAAAACUUUAGCCAAGGUACUAGGGAUAAUGAGAUACCUUGGAUUACAUCAUGAGAGGAUUGAGCAUCUCGCUUUCUAAUGGUAUAUACUUUUCCUUGAGUUGUUGGUCUGAUCUGCUCUUUAUUUAUAUGACACUCUUUGAUCCGAUGUUGAAUACUACCACAUCUAAAGCAUCUAUUUGUCAACUUGAAAUAGGAUCUGCUACCAUGGUUCUUCCUAUAAUGGGAACAUAUAUGUUCUGGCCCUUGUGUUGGGACUAAGAGAUCCAUUUUCUGCCCCUGUGUUGGGCUCAUAGACCUUCAUCUUAUUGUUUGGUAUGAAUGGUCGAACCAGCUGGAUCUAUUGUGGGACUAGAAUUAUAGCCUCUUCUGCAAUCUGGGCUUGUUUCAGUGCUUCUUGAUAGUCAUUAAUUUUUAGAACAGAGAUUUUAUCUCAGAUCUCUUUAUACAGGUCUCUCUAAAACUUCAUGGCUCUUAAACUUCCACCUAUUACUAGGUUGGGCGCGAACCGAGCCAACUCUAUAAACUUUUCUGCAUAUUUUGCCACCCUCAUAUGAAUCCUUGCUUUAGUUGUAGGAACUCCAUUUGCUUUUAUUCAUGAAUAAAGUUGAGAAAUACUUUAUGUAGAAUACCACUCCAAAUAUUUCCCAAAGGAUCGGUGUCCUCAACAAUCCCUUCUUUAGGCGCCACUAGUGUUAUGCAGCUCCUUUGAACAUGAAAUGUGGCUAAUUGUACCUUUUGCUUUAAAGUGGCACUAAAGAACAUCAAAUAUCUUCUCUAACUCCAUGAUCCACUGUUUGGCUAAUAUCGGGUCGGUUGCUCCAGUAAAUGAUGGUGGGUUCAUUUUCUUAAAUCUUUCAAUGAGUUUUCUAUUAUUUCCCUCAAUUGACUAGGUGUUACUGGUACUAGCAUUAUUACUGUUUGUAGCACUUUGGCUAUGGAUUAUGUGUUGAGUUACCACUGUGGCGAAGCCUUCGACUAUAAGUAUGAGUCUAUCUAGACUCUACUUGAUUCGGUCUUUCAGAAUCUGAUGUCCCUACUCUCUCGGUAUCCUUACCAUUUCCUACAUUCAUGAAAUUCAAAUUUAGAGACAUUUCCCUAUGUUUUCCAACUCUAUCUAAAUCUUAUGUAAUCCUAAGCUUUUUAUUCAAGGGAUGUCAUAAAAUCAUGCUCUGAUACCACUUGUCAUGGACCACACCCUGUCUUAUAGGGUAAUGACCGGAACAUAUUUUUUUAAGUCAUAUAAACUCGAGUUAAGUAAAAUAACUUAACUUUAUUAAUAAUAAAAGAGUCACAAAAGCGUUACAUAUCUUAAAUAUAAAAUAUAAACAUAUGUACGAGACUCUAAAUUUCCUUACUUACAUUACUAAACAAAAAUACAAAACAGUAAUCUUAAUAUCAGAGUCUAGACUUUAGAGAUUUCUUCCGUAUCACCGUUCACUCUACAAUAGUAUCAUCUGUAUCUAGAGAAUGAUAGGAGGGGUGAGAUAAAAUAUCCCAAUAAGUAAUAUUAUGAAAUUACAACAUAGUACAUGCAAUAUAUAGUUUCUUUACACAUAAUAUAAUAUACAUCAUAUAAUCUUUCUAAAAUAUAUACGAAUCAGAAGACGAAAGUACAAAUCAUAAAAUAGAUACAUGUUGUACACUUCUUCACUAUUAUGGAGGAUCAAUCAGUUACCAUACAUUAUGCAUAGGUACAGAUACUUAUCACUGGUUUUUCAUGUAUUCGAAUAUGGAACGACACACGUAAGUAUCUUGAAACACUGCUACCCUUCAAACACGGAACGAUUAGGACACGCAGAUCAAACUAUUUUUUCAUACACUCGAACACGAAACGGUUAUGUAUAGGUACACACUUAUCACUUCGCCAAUACACCCGAACACAGAACGAUUAUGUACGACCAAAUUGAAUCCUAGCAUAAUGCAAGUGCUUUUGGAUAACUUCUUUCCAUAAUGAGUGAUGCACACAUAUCAAAAUCACAUUUCAAAAAUACAAACACAAAGCGAAAUAACAUUUAUAAUGAAGUAAAAUAUUAACAAAUACUUAUUUAACAAAUACGGAAGACAAAUUAAAUAUAUGUACAUUUUUAUACUGAAAAUACAUAAAAUACUUCAAAACUACGUAGGUUAUGAAUUCAUAAUAUCCACUUACCUUAGGUCUUUAAUAGUUGUAGUUUUAAUUCUAGCAGAGUUUCAACUUUAUUUAUGAUUUUUUUCUCAAAAAAAUUCGGCAGAGUUUCGAGAUGAGUUUUGGUCACUUUAUUGACUAAAAAAUAUUCAAUACAAUACUCAAAAACUAAUCCCAAAAAUUAAAGAGAAACCGAACUUUAAAACUUAAGAAAAAACUUACAUUUAUGACGGUUUAUAGUUUCCUUUUAAUCGUGAGCCUUAUUCUUCUUCUCUUCCUAUUUCUCUGCUCUCACAAAUUUAGCAAAUUUUUUCAAAAGUUUUUAUCUAAAACAUCAAAAUACUCUCAAAUAUCACACACUUUGUACUCCCUCUUCUUCUUUUAAUUUUAUGUUUCUUAUUAUUUUUCUCUCAUUCGAAAUGUCUCUUUCUCCCUUCUCUUAUCCCCUAUUUAUAGGAGUGGGGAGCCAGGAGGAAAAAGUUGCCAUCAUUCCAUCUUACUAUUUCAUCUAAAAGUUAUCACCUUUUAUCAUAUCAUUUCUCUUAAAAAGUUACCAUUCUUCACAUGUCGUUUUACCUAAAAAGUCUUGUAACAUGUCACUUCAUCUAAAAGAUUACAAUUUUUUUACAUGGUGUUUUAUCUAAAAGAUCUUUUCACAUGUUAUUUCAUCUAAAAGAUUAAUAUUUUUCACAUGUCACUUUAUCUAAAAAUUAUUAUUUUUUAUUAUGUUAUUUUAUCUAAUAGUUAUCACUUUUCAUUAUAUAAUUUCAUUUAAAAUAUUUCCACAUUUUCUCAUAGCUCUUCAUGUUUAUUUUAACUCAUUUUAUCUUUAUCUGUUAUUUUUUCGUUUGACUCUACACUAUGCAUUUAACCUAAUUAUAUAUUUUUAAAUAUAUAUAAAAUUAAAUUAUAUAUAAAAAAUUAACUCAAAAGUAUUUUCAAACUAUCACAGUAUAUAUAUAUAUUAGCAGAUUAUUCAUAUACUGAAGUGCAUAACAAUUGAUUGAUGGUUUUAUAUAUAUUAUAUUUCUGUUCUUAUUAUAUAAACUUAAAAUUUAAAUAUUAGAGUAUUUAUUUACUGGGUCGCUAUCCCAGUUCGGAAUUGGCAUCGUACCAACUUGCAUUAAUUUUUUCUUUGGAAUGCAUGUCGGACAGCAAAAUACGGCAAUUUCUAUCACAAUCAGUUUUAUAAUUAAAAAAAGACAAUUAAGAUAAUUCCAUAAUUAACCACUUAAUCUCUUAUUAAUUAUUUUAAUAGACUUAAGUGAUAAAAAAUAUUAUUAUUUUAAUAUUCAAAAAUAAAAGAAAACAACUCGUUGGGCACCGUCCAACAGAAGCACUGGUGUUCUUUUCUCUACCACUAAUCAGCUGGAUCAUUCUCAAUCACAAAACAAAAAUUUCUAUCAAAGAAAAUCUUCAUCUUCCAUUUAAAGUAUACUGUAGCUUUCUACUCGCAAAAAGUCAAAGGAAAACUAGGAGACUUGAUUGUUGAUUGAUUUCAUUGUUUCUUUCGCCUCGAUCCCAAAAAAAAAAAAGAAGAAAAACAAAAAGACAUAUACAUACACUCUGUUAAUCCUUCUACUAUUUGAAAUUACUCCAAAUAAGAAAGGAAAAAAAAAAAACCUAGAAAUCUAGAACUGAAAAACUAGCUCAAAUUGUAAGUUGAGUUUUCGACGACGGUGUCGGAAUAAAGAGGAUUACCAAUUUUCAUCAACAAAUUGAGCAAGAGAGAGACAGCACCGUGUUUGUUUGAUCGCCGAUUAAUAGCUGUAGGAACCUCGGUCCGACACAGUGGACAUGUAUAAUGGAACUUGAACCAUUCCUCAAUACAAUCCACAUGAAAACAGUGUUUGCAUUUCGGCAAUUUCCUCAGUUUCUCUCCGUCGAUUGCCUCGUACAAGCACACGCUGCAGUACGGCGUCGUUUUUUCAUCUUCUCCUUUCGCUCGGUCUGCCCGGAAAGUGAAGUCGCCGUAACGGACGCUGCAGAUACGUCGCAACAGAUUAGUAGAAAGACGAAAGGUGAACAGAAAUAGACUGAUUAUCAGAACGGUGUUCUUGCAGCAGCAGGUCGCCGAACAGCCGUCGAUCGCCGCCGAUCCCAAUUCAUCUCCACCGUCCAUCACUCUCUGUUUGUUUCUUUUUCCUUUCUCUUUUCUUUUCAAAUUUAUGUCAGUUUGUACUCCUCUGUUCGUCUCCAACACUCUCUUCUCUCUCCCGUAUAAAUAACUUAUAGCUUAUUUUUAUUUCAAAAUUAAAGCAUAUAAUAAAUUUGAAAAAUUAUUUUUACAUAAUUUAUUAUUAAUUCAAAUAAUAAAAAUACUAUUCAAAAUUGAUUAAAUUAUUAAUACUAAUGUAGAUUUCGUACAUAAAAUCCUCAAUUGUCAAAAAAAAAAAAAAAAAAGUGUUUAGGUUGCCAAACUUUAAAAGACCGAACGUUAAAUAGUUAAAAUAGAUAAACGAAAGUUUAUCAAAAGAAUAAUUCAUAGUAGAAUUUUUACAAUUAAUUAGAAAUAGGUAAUAAAAAAUACUAUAAAGCUAAUUUAUAUUAUUUAAAUAUUUAAAAUAAAUUAAUAUGUUAUAUUUUAUUAAUUAAGACCAAGAAGCGGAAAGCAGUUGACCUAAGUAGCCGCCUUGUUUAUUUUUUCCAAAGGUUCUAGAGAAUUUUGCCUAGAAGGUUUCUCUAUUAUAAAAUUAUAUAAUAUGAUUAAUUAAUUGUUUUAAUGAUAAAGAUAAUGGGUCUGUGUCCCAUUAUAUUUAUUUAUCAUUAAUAUCAAUUGUUCUAGAAUGCUGAAAUUACGCAAAUUCCACUAAACUUUAUUUAAUAUAUAUAUAUAUAUAUAUAUAUAUAUAUUGCUCAUAUUUAGGAUAAAACAGAGACUAGUGUUCUUUACCUCUCACAUGAUUUUUAUUUUUAUUUUAAAAGGUAAUUAAAUAGUUUCCAUAUAAGAUAUUUACUACUUGUUAUUAUAAGGUUUAAGAACUAAAAAAAGAAAAAGAGUAAAUUCCUAUGUUACUAUAUUUUAAUAUAUAAUUAGUAAAACAUACUUAAACUUCAUAUUAAUGCUCAAUUAAUAUUGAUUAAUAAACUUCAUGUAUACUUUACUUUUUACUAAAUUUAAUUUAAAACUCAUUAAAUUUUAACAACAAAUUUCAUAGAAAGACUAAUUUGAAUCAGAAGUAGUAAUUAUAAAAUUUAUUUAAACUAUUUUCAUAUUCAAUUCAAAAAGUUAAAGUCAUAGUUAGUUAAAUAAUUUCUAAGAAAGUAGUUGGAAGAAUAUUUACUUUCCACGGAAAUGUAUCUAAUCCUAAUCACCUAUAUUAUUUUGGUCAAAUAAUUAAAUAUAUUAAUGUUGGCUUUAAUUUUUUUUUUUUUUUUUGUCUUUGUAAUAUUUUAUUUUAUUGGUUUUGAUGGUUGAAUUAUUAUUUUUUUCAUUCGUAUAUUUUUAAAAAUUUUGUAUAUUAUAUUAAUUAUUUUUUAUUAAUUUUUAUUAACACUAUUAAUAUAUUUAUUACAUACCACUUAAUUUAGUGUAUAAUAUUAAUUUAAUUAUAUUUUCUAUUCCUCUAUUAUUUUAUCAGAUUUGACACAUUAUAUCAUUUAAUUGUAUAUUUAAAUUAAUAACACGCGUAAAAUUCGUGACAUACAAUAAAUAUAUUGAUGAUAUUAAUAAAAAUUAAUAAAAAAAGAUAAUAGUGCACAACUUCUUAAAAAUAUGAGAAUAAAAGAAUAAUUAGAUCAAGUCGAAUUAAACCAAAUGGUACAUAAACCCAAAUAAUAUUUAGGCUUAUUAAUAUAACUUUUAACAAUAAAUAACUACUGUACACAUUUUAUCAAUAAAUACAUUAAUGAACUGAAAAUAAAAAAAAAGACUUCAUCAAUUUACAGAUAUAUUUUCGUAAACUUGAAUUAUGUUACAAAUAUAUUAUUUAGAAAGCUCAUAUCCAAAAUCUAUUUCAUACUAAUUAAUCCUAAUUAUUAUGCAUGGUGAAAUCUAUUUCUCUUAAAUUAAUAACAUAUUGCCAAACAUGUUUCUAGUCUGUAGUUGGUGAUAUUUAUAGUUCGGUGGGUAUUAAUCGGAAGAAAGCUAAGUAAGUAAAAAUUAAUAAUAUAUUCUCAUAUGAACUUCCUUAAAUUAAUGUAGCAUCAUAAUGAGAAAUGUAUUGGACAAAAUUGACAUAGAUUUUAAGACUUCAUUUUUUAAAUAUGUUAUCUGAAAAUUUGAAUAAAACAAACUAAUCUAUGAUCAAGUACCUUUAAACGAUUAAAAUUUAUUAUCUAAUCACAUAUUUUAUGUAAUGAAAUAUUAUAUUAUAAAAAUAAAAACAUGACUUAAAAAUAAUAGUAUUUAUUAGUGGGAAGCCCUUAAUUUUGUCCCAACAUACCGUUUUAGAUCAUAUGGAUUCCAACACAGGUCAGCUCAGGUUAGAGUUAAAAGGCUGCCUUUGGGUACGAUGAAUACCCAUGAUGCUUCUCAAAUUAGGAAUCUAUUAGCUCCUAAUUUGAGAAGCAUUGGUGCACUAGUCUAAUUAUUUAAGGAUCUUUAUUACAUUAUUUAGUAGAGAAGAAAUUUUGGGUUCACUUUUCAGUAUGAAUGAACUGAGCCAUAAAUGUAGUUCAAAAUUCCAUACAUCACCCUCAUGCCCGAUCAAUAAAACCGCUAUAUAAGGGAAAUUCCUGAAGCCAUAUGGUCCCUUGAAUAAAAUAGAAGCAACUUCUCUUAAUUCUCAGUAUGUAUAGGCAGAGGAAGCUUUACAAGAUUCCUUCUGUACUUCUUCCUACUUCCCAUGUCAUGCCCAAGUUAAAUCCUUUGAUGCGUGUGUCUGUCUUCACUAUUAAUUCAUUUUCUCAAAAUCCUCACACUGCUUCAUUAUCCGUUGCUAGCUCAGCAUGAGCUCUGCCAUUGACUUCCCUGCUGGUGAUACACCAGUCCUCUAUCCCUCCACAUAAUCUAUGCCGUUAUUAUCCCAGCCUCUCCAGAUCCCUCUCCGUCCACAUCAACUUCUGUUGGGUCGUUUAAUUUACCACAAAAUACCCAUGAAGUUGUUAGCCCACAUUAAUAGUUUUCCCGUAGCCUUAAAUAGACCGCUACUCGUGACUUAGCUCUGUCUUAAAGACGGGCUUAAAAUAAUGCCCAUCAAUUUCUUCCCUUUUCGUUUCAGCCCAUCUAUACCUUCAUCCACCACUUGUCGUCCAAGCCCAUGUCCAUGACCUAUUUACCCAUAAAGCAAUAGCUUAUACUAAACCACAAUCUCACACCUCUACUUGCUAAAAAACUUGUUUAGCCGCUCUAGAAGUUAAUCUUAAGGCCUGGAAAGUGAGCCAAUCACCCCUUCACCCUAAAUGAGGCUAUUGUUAGAGACCAAUCUCUCUACUCAUAAACCCAUCUUUUAUAUUAAUUUUGUGAAGAACUCAAACUAAUCUGAGCUUCUCGUAGAACACAAUAUUCAACUUACUUGGGUAAGCUUGUCACAAUAAUUAAUAAGAUACAGACAGAAUUGAACCGGAUACAGUAUUUGCCUUCAAUAUAAGAGAAUGUAUACAGUGAAGAAACCUGCAUCUACAGUUUCAAAACUUGCUUCAGCAGGUAGAAAUGUAUUAGAAAUAAAGAUACAAAGAAAAGAUGGAUUCAUAUGGGGGAUAUGAAUACUUCUUAUUUCCAUUUGAAAUUAGUUCUUUGACACACGAUCAGUUUUAUUAAUUCCAUUUAUAGUAACCAAAAUUAAAGGCUCCCUAAUCCUGUAGAGAUUAAUGACUAUUUAAAUCUCAAUCUCAUAACCUUUACAUUAACACAAUGUGCUUCUCAUCACCUAUUCUUUCAUCAGUAUAUCCAAAUGCUCUCAAUCAUACUGUAAAUGAAGAACUUAUAGUUAUACCUUAAGAGGUAGUGAUCUACAAAGCCUUAAUAAUGUGGGGUUAAACAAACCCCCUGGCUAGAUAGUAUUCCCUCUUCUUUUUACAAAACUUACUGAUCCAUUAUCAAAAUAAACUUAAUAGUGUAUGUUCAAGCUUUCUUUUAGUUAGGUUUUUCCUCAAAUAAUUAAACCAAACAUGUAUCAUAUUGAUACAAUCCAAUCACCUUAACAAGAUUCAACAGUAACAACCUAUCUCUUCAUGUAGUGUUAGCUAUAAAAUCAUUGUUAAAAUUCUUGCUAAUAGUGUAUGUUCAAGCUAAAACCCCACUUAUUUCUCUCUCUUAAACUACCUUUAUCAAACAAGAAGCAUUUAAGAUAAUUCUAUUGUGGCUUAGGAAAUAUAACAUUUCAUGAAACGAAAAAGGUAAAAGAGGGUGGUUUUGUAUUAAAUGUGAUAUGAUAGGGCUUAUGAUAAGAUUGAAGAGACUUUUUUUCUCAAGUCCUAUAAAGGAUUGGUUUAUUCCCCAAAGUUGUUCAACUCCUAUCCUAAUGCCAUACAAGAGUCUAAUACCAACUUUUAAUAAAUGGGAUACUACUACGGGGUGAUCCACUUCAGAGGGGCAUUAAGAAGGGUGACUUUCUCUCUCUCU